AAGCGGCGGAGCAUGCGGAUAAUUCGAUGCAACGCGAAGAACCUUACCAAGGCUUGACAUACACCGGUAACGCCCAGAGAUGGGUGCCCCUUUGUGGUCGGUGUACAGGUGGUGCAUGGUUGUCGUCAGCUCGUGUCGUGAGAUGUUGGGUUAAGUCCCGCAACGAGCGCAACCCUCGUCCUAUGUUGCCAGCGGGUCAUGCCGGGGACUCAUGGGAGACUGCCGGGGUCAACUCGGAGGAAGGUGGGAUGACGUCAAAUCAUCAUGCCCCUUAUGUCUUGGGCUUCACGCAUGCUACAAUGGCCGGUACAAAGGGCUGCGAUACCGCGAGGUGGAGCGAAUCCCAGAAAGCCGGUCUCAGUUCGGAUUGGGGUCUGCAACUCGACCCCAUGAAGUCGGAGUCGCUAGUAAUCGCAGAUCAGCAACGCUGCGGUGAAUACGUUCCCGGGCCUU
rnacentral:rRNA from 1 species